UGGGGAAUAUUGCACAAUGGGCGAAAGCCUGAUGCAGCGACGCCGCGUGAGGGAUGACGGCCUUCGGGUUGUAAACCUCUUUCAGUAGGGACGAAGCGCAAGUGACGGUACCUGCAGAAGAAGCACCGGCUAACUACGUGCCAGCAGCCGCGGUAAUACGUAGGGUGCGAGCGUUGUCCGGAAUUACUGGGCGUAAAGAGCUCGUAGGCGGUUUGUCACGUCGUCUGUGAAAUCCUAGGGCUUAACCCUGGACGUGCAGGCGAUACGGGCUGACUUGAGUGCUACAGGGGAGACUGGAAUUUCUGGUGUAGCGGUGGAAUGCACAGAUAUCAGGAAGAACACCGAUGGCGAGGGCAGGUCUCUGGGUAGUAACUGACGCUGAGGAGCGAAAGCAUGGGUAGCGAACAGG
rnacentral:rRNA from 1 species